GGAUGGACGGACAUCAUGAAUCCAGACACACCGAAGUUACGCGCAUUAGCGGAAUUUGCUUACCUGGAUCAGCGACACCAUUAUCAAAUGUUGAAAAUACGCAUUAUUUCGGCUAAAAGGCAGGUUGUGGCGGGUAUAAACUACUACAUGGUAUUCACUGUCCAAGAUAAUCGAAGGCUCCUCGAGAAGUGCACCACUAAAAUUUAUGUUCCGCCAGUAGAUACACUGCGAAAAAGAAAGGUUGUCUCGAAGUUCUGCUGCAAAUGAGAAGUACCGAAGAUUCUCCGCACAACGAUACGUGUAACUAAUUUCUUCGUUGAACUGUAAGCGCUGCACAAAGUG